rnacentral:lncRNA from 1 species
GCUGGGCUCUGUUACAGCAGCAGAUGAGUGUGAGUGCAACCGUAAACACACCCUGCCCCACUUGUGCAGCAAAAUCAGUCAGGUUGGGAUGUGAUCCUAAGACUGCCUGCACUGUUUUGAUCUAACAUCCCCAAAUCAGCGCCGUGCAGAGGAAAGUGAUGACAGUUACAGGAAAGUGGGACCUUAUUUCCUUGGAGGACUCACUCCUUCCCCUAUGAGCCUUUUUCAAACAGAGGAUCUUCAGAAACUUCACAGCUCAAGAUAAAAUUAGAAACUGCUUUAAAGAACUCGCUGCAGAGAUGGCGAGAUUGCAAGAGAGAAGACAUAAGGAGAUAUGUCAGAACAGAAAAGGGAGAUAUUUUUAUUAAAAUGAAUGGCUCUACGACUGCCAAGAUACCGGGCUUGGAAUGAGGCUCCUGCAUGUUCAUAGGACACAACACAUUUGAGAUUACACAGACUUUUGUCCUUAAUGCCACUGUGCAUUUCCUAGACAUGCCAGCAUAUAAUUCCUUCUCCAGCAGAGGUCAAAAGGAGAAAGGCUUGAAACAUCUAACCAAAUUCUCAAUAAGAAGUGUCGGCUUUUUUUGAUAUCCCACUUUUCCAUCCUGUUCUCCUGAAGCUAUUUCACCUGCAGCAUCCUUGCCUUUCUGGCUCAUGUGCUGCCCUCCAGCCACGGCUUCAUUCUCAACUGAGAGAAUUCUCAACUGCUGAAUUUUGCAGACCACGGAUUCAAUAUCACCGAGCAGUAGGGAAGCUGAAUGGUUUUAGGAUAUCUUCAUGUCAUAUAAGGCAAAUAGAACGGUUUUCUUCCAAACCAAAAAUGUCAAAUGAAAAGGUCGGCUCAACACUAGUAAAACCAAUACUAUUGUGGCCUGUGUACGCAUAUAGGAUGCAUCACAUAUAUUCCUCAGACCCUAGCAACUAAAUUGAGGAGUGAAAAGAGAAGACAGAGCGAGCAGUGGCCCCUUAGAGUGACAUGACACCAUUCCAGUGCUUCUUGGAAGGAUGCCUGAUGUUUCAGCUCACCCUGGGAACAGCUAUAACUAGUUACACUUCUUUGGACUGUGUGUAUCUAGUUUUCCUGCACACGUGCAAUUUCUUUCUUCAGCAUUAAAAGUUUUCAAAGGGGAGGUCACGACUGCUGCUACAGCAAUCAGGGACUCUAAAAUGUCAGAGAGCUCAAUCAAGUUUCCGCAGACCAGGUGCAUAACUGAAUAAAGAAGAUAUUGUAAUAAUUAGAAGAAUCUUG